CUGCUGAAAGCUGAAUUUUUGAGGCUCAGCCUGGUAGGCAUGCACUAAGAAUACCUCGGACAAAAGGGCUGUACCUCUCUCAGCACCUUAGGCCACUCUUCAGCUCCCAAAAAGGACUUCCUAGAGAUUGCAUCCACACAUGGACCACAAUUGAUCCAAAUUCCCAACUUUGCAGGCUUUUCCUGCAUGAGUGAGGAAGAAGCUACCAUCAUGGCAGGCAAGGCAAGAACAGGGAUAAAUGCCUGGGUCUCCCAUCUCAAGAAAUCAGCUGCCUGAUUUCAACAGCCUGACCUGUUGGCUUCUCUGCGUACUCUGCUUUGAUGGAUCUGCUGAGCUUGUCCCUGAAGGCUUGGAUACAGUGGUUCUUCCUAAUAUUAGGAGCUGGCCAGUAUGGGAGCACUGGACCUGACAGCUGUGGGCACUGUGGCCAUGAACAAAGGCUUUUCUGUUUUGGGGGCUGCCAGGCUGUCAGUCUGCAGGCAGGGAAAGGAUCACUUGC